rnacentral:tRNA from 2 species
UGCCUUGUAGCCAAGCGGUAAGGCAUCAGACUUUGACUCUGACAUUUCGGCGGUUCGAAUCCUCCCAAGGCAGCCA